rnacentral:misc_RNA from 1 species
AGGAAGAGUACACUAGAGCUUAGCCAAUAGUCCAUUCUGGAUAGGCUUUGCUGUCAUUCCAUUGUCCUUGAGAUCCAAAUCACUUGAACUUGGAGGAACGUCCACAGCCGGUGAGCAGUUAAAAAACCCAUGUGGCAUUAGCAUAAAACCAAUGCGAUCCACUGGCAUGACAGGCCAGUCUUCCAAUCGAGGAAUGUGCGUCACUCCAAAUACAUACCAUAGAACUAUGUUAGUUUCUUCAAGGGAUCGAUUUUGCUUCACCCAAGUAGCCAAUCCCUCUCCAACACGAGGAUUUUGAUUAGGAAACUCUCCUCCAGGAUACAUUUCAUCACGUGCGUAAGGUGUUACCCAAAGAUUAUGUUUCAAGAAAGCAGCUCUUCUUAAGAAUUUUGCCUCUGA